rnacentral:lncRNA from 1 species
UAUGAUAUUGGUACCGACUGGAUUGGGAGAGGGAUACACAAGGCCUAGACCCGGAGGCCGCACCACUCUUGACGAAUCCGGAUCGGGUAGGCAGGACUCGACCCGGCUCAAUAAUUCGGAUUACGCGUAGUUCUCCACCCUCUUAUCUAUUCUCGCAGCCGCCUGCCUCUUCCUUAUCUCGAACACUCCUCUCCUUCUCUUGUAGGCUCUUCUCUCCGAUAUUCCUCUCCGGCGAGUUCGGAGACUACAAUGAUGAUGACGAUUCCUCCCAGAACCGACUUCAAGGAGAGUGACGAUCUCCUCAGUGAUUCAUCUCCUGCAACAAAUAGGUAGCAAUUCCCACCUUCUCCUCCUUUCUGCUUGAUUUACAUCUCGAUCUCCUCCCUCAGCUCUAUCCUAACUCUCAUCUCACUUUUUCUGGUCGCAGAGUUGGGAAAUCAAGAGGGUUCUAAACAUCGACCCAGGUUAGAUUGUUUCUUCUAAGAUUCAUUUUCUACUACCUCUUCUGUGUAGACGUCCUAGGUAUAUUCUGACUUGGCUCAUAUGGCUAGGUUCGUGCUAAGGAUGGGCGUGAUGAAUUAAGACUCAAACAGAGGGGAACCGGUCAAGAUUUAAAGCAAGAAUACUUACCGCAAUGGAUCUUAUGUUUAGUUAAAUGCCUAGGUCGCUUCGUGAUUUCGUUAUGGUUUUUGCGUUCGACUAGGGGAUGUAGUAAUGGACAAGGGUAUAGGAGCAAGGGUAGCCUAAAAUUAUUUUUGUGGAAAGAGUAGCACGAAAAAAAUGGUUAAAAUUCUUGAAAUUAUUUUUUGUAUUCCGUUCCCUGAAAAACAGUUAGAAUUCUUUGGAGAUAAUUUUGGUAUUCCGUUUAUAGCCCGGAAAAAUGACAAAAAUCAAUUUAACGUUUGGAGACAAGAUAAAAACGCUUUAUAGGACGAUCCUAUCUUAGGGUUAGGCGUAAAAUCUUUGUCGAUUAAUUGUAAUCAUGUCAUGAUAAUGGGUAAUAAUGGUAACAUGCAUGAUAUAAAGUUAAAACCUUUUAUAUGACUUUUGAAA